GCCGGGUGUGGUGGCUCACACCUGUAAUCCCAGCACUUUGGGAGGCUGAGAUGGGUGGAUCACCUGAGGUCAGGAGUUUGAGACCAGCCUGGCCAACAUGGUGAAACCCCAUUUCUA
rnacentral:SRP_RNA from 1 species